GAAAGAUGGCUUUGGCUAUCACUCUGGGAUGGACCUGCGGUGCAUUAGCUAGUUGGUAAGGUAACGGCUUACCAAGGCGAUGAUGCAUAGCCGAGUUGAGAGACUGAUCGGCCACAAUGGAACUGAGACACGGUCCAUACUCCUACGGGAGGCAGCAGUAGGGAAUCUUCCACAAUGGGCGCAAGCCUGAUGGAGCAACACCGCGUGAGUGAAGAAGGGUUUCGGCUCGUAAAGCUCUGUUGUUGGAGAAGAACGUGCGUGAGAGUAACUGUUCACGCAGUGACGGUAUCCAACCAGAAAGUCACGGCUAACUACGUGCCAGCAGCCGCGGUAAUACGUAGGUGGCAAGCGUUAUCCGGAUUUAUUGGGCGUAAAGCGAGCGCAGGCGGUUGCUUAGGUCUGAUGUGAAAGCCUUCGGCUUAACCGAAGAAGUGCAUCGGAAACCGGGCGACUUGAGUGCAGAAGAGGACAGUGGAACUCCAUGUGUAGCGGUGGAAUGCGUAGAUAUAUGGAAGAACACCAGUGGCGAAGGCGGCUGUCUGGUCUGCAACUGACGCUGAGGCUCGAAAGCAUGGGUAGCGAACAGGAUUAGAUACCCUGGUAGUCCAUGCCGUAAACGAUGAGUGCU
rnacentral:rRNA from 1 species